rnacentral:lncRNA from 1 species
GUGCAAUGAUAAGUGAUCACAGGAUCGUUUCUGGGGGCUGAGAAGCUCUCCCCAUAGCAGGGAUAUCAGCAGGUUAGGUCACCCCAUGACAGGGAAGGCGGAGGAGUGUAUUACCUGGGUUUCCAGAAUUGGAUAAACAAACCAUCAGCGCUCAGACCCCACAGGGCACUGGAGCUGGAAGUGUGACUCUUUGGGGUACAUCUUCACCGCAUGGGUCACCCCCUUGAGUGGGAGAACCAGCAGGAGACUCAAACCUGAGAGCUCUGCACCAGCAUGCUCCUGACCGUGACACACUCAGGCAUCCUUACCACAUCAACCAGUGCUGUGGAGGCUGCCCCAGGGCUGGCCCUCUCUGCACCUUGCCAUCUGUCUCCAGUUCUCUUCUCUGCACCAGGAGGCCAAGGGACAGAUCUACAAGCCCUCCGACCAAGCACAUGUCCAACAGGGAAACCUAAAGCCAGUUUUCCUUUCUUGCAAAAAAAAGCCUGGAAGAGGAGCCUGGAAGAGGAGCCUGGAAGUUGGCAGCUGUUAUAUCUCAGGGAGUUGGGAAUAUGGAGGUUUUAAUUUCCGUUUUGCACCUUUCUG